rnacentral:rRNA from 1 species
UACAGAGGGUGCGAGCGUUAAUCGGAAUUACUGGGCGUAAAGCGUGCGUAGCCGGUUAUGUAAGACAGUUGUGAAAUCCCCGGGCUCAACCUGGGAACUGCAUCUGUGACUGCAUAGCUAGAGUACGGUAGAGGGGGAUGGAAUUCCGCGUGUAGCAGUGAAAUGCGUAGAUAUGCGGAGGAACACCGAUGGCGAAGGCAAUCCCCUGGACCUGUACUGACGCUCAUGCACGAAAGCGUGGGGAGCAAACAGG